UUUAUUUUCCAAUUGAAGUAAUUGCUCUGCACAUUUGUGUGCAGGCUGUUUUUUUUUUUACAUAGUUGCAGAAUCUGCUGUUACAGCUGAGCGGUUCAUUGUAUGGACUGGACUAGACUCCACCAGAGAUGUUGAUGCAGAAUGUUCCCAAUGUGAAUGCCAUCCGGUUCCCUGGAGGGUGACGCUGUUCUUCUGGAGUUUCCGUAGACAAGUGUCUCUGAUGUGCGCACGGCCAUCAGACGAAAAUGUAACAAUGAGCAGUUCAGCCAAAAAAA